CAGAGUGUCUGAAAUCUCAUGUAUACAUGAAUGAGACAGUGUGCCAUGCGCUGGUUUGAAAUGCGUCUCAAGAAAAUUUGCGAGAUUUGAGAUCAUAGCAUGCUCAUAAAAAAUGUGUGUACGUGCCUCAAUGAGACGUCUCGUGAGACUCGUCUCAUUGAGAUGUUUGUCAGUUGAAUUGCAGAGGAAUUAUUUUACACGUUCAACUUGCCUGUGUGUACAGAUACUCUGGUUUUCGAUAUAUAUUGCUUGCACUCCAAGCUCGAAGAUCCAGCCACAUAUCUUACUUUUAGUGUGUAGGAUACGCAACACUCCAAGUGCCCUUACCGAGAUGGCUAGACGAAGCGCGUCGAACAUAAACUUAAAAAGGCACGAGAGAGAAAGUUAGCACACUGAAAAUUCUUACGUUACCAUAUCAUAUCAAAUCUACGAAAUAAAACAUUUAGAACUACAUAA